CACCGCCUGGGGAGUACGACCGCAAGGUUAAAACUCAAAUGAAUUGACGGGGACCCGCACAAGUAGUGGAGCAUGUGGUUUAAUUCGAAGAUACGCGCAGAACCUUACCAACACUUGACAUGUUCGUCGCGACUUUAAGAGAUUAAAGUUUUCGGUUCGGCCGGACGAAACACAGGUGCUGCAUGGCUGUCGUCAGCUCGUGUCGUGAGAUGUUGGGUUAAGUCCCGCAACGAGCGCAACCCUCACUUUUAGUUGCCAUCAUUUAGUUGGGCACUCUGAAAGAACUGCCAGUGAUAAGCUGGAGGAAGGUGGGGAUGACGUCAAGUCCUCAUGGCCCUUACGUGUUGGGCUACACACGUGCUACAAUGGUAUCUACAACAGGAAGCAAGACCGCGAGGUUAAGCAAAUCCUUAAAAGAUACCUCAGUUCGGAUUGCACUCUGCAACUCGAGUGCAUGAAGCUGGAAUUACUAGCAAUCGUGGAUCAGCGUGCCACGGUGAAUGCGUUCCCGGGUCUUGUACACACCGCCCGUCACACCAUGGGAGUUGGUUCUACCUUAAGGCAAGGUUUUAAACCCUUGACCACGGUAUAGUCAGCGACUGGGGUGAAGUCGUAACAAGGUAGCCGUAGGGGAACCUGCGGCUGGAUUACCUCCUUUCUAAGGAUGAAUAAAAGUAAAAUUUUAUUCUAAAUAAUAUACAGGUAAUGUUGACCGUCCUCAUUUCUCUUCUUAAAGUAGUGUUUCUCUUGCAUGGGGGCCGGUAGCUCAGUUGGUUAGAGCACACCCUUGAUAAGGGUGGGGUCGAAAGUUCGAGUCUUUCUCGGCCCACCAAUCAAAGAUCUGGGGGAUUAGCUCAGCUGGGAGAGCGCCUGAUUUGCAUUCAGGAGGUCAGCGGUUCGAUCCCGCUAUCCUCCACCAAAACACUUAGUUAUAAAAAUUGUAAAUAAAUUAAAUAAUUAAUAUCAAUAUCUAUAUCCGAACAUUAGUAAUGUUAUUAGCUAAUGUUCAAAAUAAAAAUUUGAUUCAACACAGAAUUUUUUUCUG
rnacentral:sRNA from 1 species